rnacentral:rRNA from 1 species
AUUGAACGCUGGCGGCAGGCCUAACACAUGCAAGUCGAGCGGAUGAAGGGAGCUUGCUCCUGGAUUCAGCGGCGGACGGGUGAGUGAUGCCUAGGAAUCUGCCUGGUAGUGGGGGAUAACGUCCGGAAACGGGCGCUAAUACCGCAUACGUCCUGAGGGAGAAAGUGGGGGAUCUUCGGACCUCACGCUAUCAGAUGAGCCUAGGUCGGAUUAGCUAGUUGGUGGGGUAAAGGCCUACCAAGGCGACGAUCCGUAACUGGUCUGAGAGGAUGAUCAGUCAAACUGGAACUGGGACACGGUCCGACCUCCUAGGGGAGGAGGAAGUGGGAAAAUUUGAAAAGUGGGCGAAGGCUUAUCCCAGCCAGGCCGCGGGUGUAAAAAAGGUCUUCGGAUUGUAAAGCACUUUAGGUGGGAAGAAAGGGAAGAAGUUAAUACCUUGCUGUUUUGACGUUACCAACAGAAUAAGCACCGGCUAACUUCGUG